rnacentral:rRNA from 1 species
GAUGAACGCUGGCGGCGUGCCUAAUACAUGCAAGUCGAGCGAAUGGAUUGAGAGCUUGCUCUUAUGAAGUUAGCGGCGGACGGGUGAGUAACACGUGGGUAACCUGCCCAUAAGACUGGGAUAACUCCGGGAAACCGGGGCUAAUACCGGAUAACAUUUUGAACCGCAUGGUUCGAAAUUGAAAGGCGGCUUCGGCUGUCACUUAUGGAUGGACCCGCGUCGCAUUAGCUAGUUGGUGAGGUAACGGCUCACCAAGGCAACGAUGCGUAGCCGGCCUGAGAGGGGGGUCGGCCACACUGGGACUGAGACACGGCCCAGACUCCUACGGGAGGCAGCAGUAGGGAAUCUUCCGCAAUGGACGAGAGUCUGACGGAGCAACGCCGCGUGAGUGAUGAAGGCUUUCGGGUCGUAAAACUCUGUUGUUAGGGAAGAACAAGUGCUAGUUGAAUAAGCUGGCACCUUGACGGUACCUAACCAGAAAGCCACGGCUAACUACGUGCCAGCCGCCGCGGUAA